rnacentral:rRNA from 1 species
AGUCUGGUGCCAGCAGCCGCGGUAAUUCCAGCUCCAAUAGCGUAUAUUAAAGUUGUUGCAGUUAAAAAGCUCGUAGUUGGAUCUGGGGUUCGGGUCGGCGGUUUGCCGCUUCGGCGGCUACUGCCGUGCUCGACUCUUACUAGCCGGUGCGUCUUGCGGUGCUCUUCAUCGAGUGCCGUAGGAGCCUGGCAUGUUUACUUUGAAAAAAUUAGAGUGCUCAAAGCAGGCGAUUCCGCCUGAAUAGUGUUGCAUGGAAUAAUGGAAUAGGACCUCGGUUCUAUUUUGUUGGUUUUCGGAACUUGAGGUAAUGAUUAAGAGGGACGGUCGGGGGCAUUCGUAUUUCGGUGUUAGAGGUGAAAUUCUUGGAUCGCUGAAAGACGGACAAAUGCGAAAGCAUCUGCCAAGAACGUCUCCAUUAAUCAAGAACGAAAGUCAGAGGUUCGAAGACGAUCAGACACCGUCCUAGUUCUGACCAUAAACGAUGCCAACUAGCGAUCCGCAGUGGUUGCUGUAAACGGACUCUGCGAGCAGCUUCCGGGAAACCAAAGUGUUUGGGUUCCGGGGGAAGUAUGGUUGCAAAGCUGAAACUUAAAGGAAUUGACGGAAGGGCACCACCAGGAGUGGAGCCUGCGGCUUAAUUUGACCCAACACGGGGAAACUCACCCGGUCCGGACACUGUAAGGAUUGACAGAUCGAGAGCUCUUUCUUGAUUCGGUGGAUGGUGGUGCAUGGCCGUUCUUAGUUGGUGGAGUGAUUUGUCUGGUUAAUUCCGAUAACGAACGAGACUCUAGCCUGCUAACUAGUUGCGCCGUGUUCAUACGCGGCUGUAGACUUCUUAGAGGGACAGGUGGCGUUUAGCCACACGAAAUUGAGCAAUAACAGGUCUGUGAUGCCCUUAGAUGUCCGGGGCCGCACGCGCGCUACACUGAAGGAGUCAGCGUGUGCUAUCCGGGCUCGGAAGAGUUCGGUAACCCGUUGAAACUCCUUCGUGCUUGGGAUUGUGGCUUGUAAUUAUCGCGCAUGAACGAGGAAUUCCCAGUAAGUGCAAGUCAUCAGCUUGCGCUGACUACGUCCCUGCCCUUUGUACACACCGCCCGUCGCUACUACCGACUGAAUGGUUUAGCAAGGUACUCGGAUUGGUCUCGAUCUUGUACGAAAGUGCGGGAUCUGUGGCC